rnacentral:rRNA from 1 species
AACGAACGCUGGCGGCAUGCCUAAUACAUGCCAGUCGAACGAGAUCUUCGGAUCUAGUGGCGCACGGGUGCGUAACACGUGGGAAUCUGCCCUUGGGUUCGGAAUAACUUCUGGAAACGGAAGCUAAUACCGGAUGAUGACGUAAGUCCAAAGAUUUAUCGCCCAAGGAUGAGCCCGCGUAGGAUUAGGUAGUUGGUGAGGUAAAGGCUCACCAAGCCGACGAUCCUUAGCUGGUCUGAGAGGAUGAUCAGCCACACUGGGACUGAGACACGGCCCAGACUCCUACGGGAGGCAGCAGUAGGGAAUAUUGGACAAUGGGCGAAAGCCUGAUCCAGCAAUGCCGCGUGAGUGAUGAAGGCCUUAGGGUUGUAAAGCUCUUUUACCCGGGAUGAUAAUGACAGUACUGGGAGAAUAAGCUCCGGCUAACUCCGUG